rnacentral:rRNA from 1 species
CCUACGGGAGGCAGCAGUCGAGAAUCAUUCACAAUGGGGGAAACCCUGAUGGUGCGACGCCGCGUGGGGGAAUGAAGGUCUUCGGAUUGUAAACCCCUUUCAUGUGGGAGCAAAUUAAAAAGAUAGUACCACAAGAGGAAGAGACGGCUAACUCUGUGCAAGCAGCCGCGGUCAUACAGAGGUCUAAAGCGUUGUUCGGCAUCACUUGGCGUAAAGGGUGCGUAGGCUGUUUCGUAAGUCGUGUGUGAAAGGCGCGGGCUCAACCCGCGGACGGCACAUGAUACUGCGAGACUAGAGUAAUGGAGGGGGAAGCGGAAUGCGCGGUGUAGCGGUGAAAUGCGUAGAUAUUCGGAGGAACACCGGUGGCGAAGGCGGCCAACUGGGCUUUAACUGACGCUGAGGCUCGAAAGUGUGGGGAGCAAAAGGGAUUAGAUACCCGGGUAGUC